rnacentral:rRNA from 1 species
GGGGGUGCUAUACAUGCAGUCGAGCGGACAGAUGGGAGCUUGCUCCCUGAUGUUAGCGGCGGACGGGUGAGUAACACGUGGGUAACCUGCCUGUAAGACUGGGAUAACUCCGGGAAACCGGGGCUAAUACCGGAUGCUUGUUUGAACCGCAUGGUUCAAACAUAAAAGGUGGCUUCGGCUACCACUUACAGAUGGACCCGCGGCGCAUUAGCUAGUUGGUGAGGUAAUGGCUCACCAAGGCAACGAUGCGUAGCCGACCUGAGAGGGUGAUCGGCCACACUGGGACUGAGACACGGCCCAGACUCCUACGGGAGGCAGCAGUAGGGAAUCUUCCGCAAUGGACGAAAGUCUGACGGAGCAACGCCGCGUGAGUGAUGAAGGUUUUCGGAUCGUAAAGCUCUGUUGUUAGGGAAGAACAAGUACCGUUCGAAUAGGGCGGUACCUUGACGGUACCUAACCAGAAAGCCACGGCUAACUACGUGCCAGCAGCCGCGGUAAUACGUAGGUGGCAAGCGUUGUCCGGAAUUAUUGGGCGUAAAGGGCUCGCAGGCGGUUUCUUAAGUCUGAUGUGAAAGCCCCCGGCUCAACCGGGGAGGGUCAUUGGAAACUGGGGAACUUGAGUGCAAAAGAGGAGAGUGGAAUUCCACGUGUAGCGGUGAAAUGCGUAGAGAUGUGGAGGAACACCAGUGGCGAAGGCGACUCUCUGGUCUGUAACUGACGCUGAGGAGCGAAAGCGUGGGGAGCGAACAGGAUUAGAUACCCUGGUAGUCCACGCCGUAAACGAUGAGUGCUAAGUGUUAGGGGGUUUCCGCCCCUUAGUGCUGCAGCUAACGCAUUAAGCACUCCGCCUGGGGAGUACGGUCGCAAGACUGAAACUCAGAGGAAUUGACGGAGGCCCGCACAACCGGUGGAGCAUGUGGUUUAUUUCAAAGCAACGCGAAGAACCUUA